AUGGAGGCCGCCCAGUCGGGCCGGGUGGAGGCGCCCAACUCCUGUGCCAGCCCGGAUGGGUCCCAGGAUUCGCAUCGGAAAAGAAACAUGGGCCUGCACCGACACCAGGACCCGGCCUCUGCCCCGAGGGACCCAGGGACGUUACUCUACAAUACUAAUUUGGCCUCUGUGUAUCAUAAGCCUCCCAAUGCUUUUGUGGAAGGAAGUCACGGAAUCCAUCGCAAACCCUUGCCAAUUCAUCAUGGGAGCCCUGAUGCAGGUGACAGCCCUGUUGGCACCACCACUGCAACCAACCUGGAACAGCCUCGGGUUAUCCCCUCUCAAGGCGAUCUUCCAGGAGAUCUUUUAAACCUUGACCUCGGUCCUCCGGUCAAUGGGCCACAGGUAUCCUCCAUGCAGAUGGGAGCAGUGGAUCUCUUGGGAGGAGGACUAGAUAGUCUGGUGGGACAGUCCUUUAACCCGGUCGUCCGUGCCUGCAACCAUUGCUCCUUCACCUACACCUGCUGUGGUCAGCCGUGGUCUGAAUGACCUGUUUGAACUCUCCACAGGAAUAGUCAUGGCACCCGGUGGAUAUGUGGCCCCUGAAGCUGUCUGGCUACCUACAGUAAAGGCUAAAGGGUUGGAAAUUUCAGGAAUAUUUACUCGCCACCGAGGGCACCUCUAUAUGGAAAUGAACUUCACUAAUAAAGCUCUGCAGCACAUGACAGAUUUUGCAAUCCGGUUUAACAAGAAUAGCUCUGGUGUCAAGCCCAGCACUCCUCUGGCCAUCCACACACCACUGACGCCAAACCAGAGCAUGAUGUCUCCUUGCCUCUCAACACUUUGGGCCCAGUCAAGAAGAUGGAACCUCUGAAUAACCUGCAGGUGGCUGUGAAAAACGUACCGACGUCUUCUACUUUAGCUGCCACAUCCCUCAACGUGCUUUUUGUAGGAGACGGCAAAAUGGAGCGCCAGGUCUUCCUUGCGACGUGGAAGGAUAUUCCCAAUGAAAAUGAACUUCAGUUUCAGAUUAAGGAAUGUCAUUUAAAUGCAGGCACUGUUUCCAGCAAGUUGCAGAGCAACUAUGUUUAUACUGUUGCCAAGAGGAAUGUGGAAGGACAAGACAUGCUGUACCAAUCCUUGAAGCUCACUGAUGGCAUUUGGAUUUGGGCAGAGUUAUGUAUCCAGCCAGGAAACCCCAAUUAUGCGCUGUCACCCAAGUGCAGAGCUCCUGAAGUCUCUCAGUACGUCUAUCAGAUCUACGAUAGCAUUUUGAAAAACUAAUAGACUGGUCCAUUAUCCUGCAAUCACGCUUUGAUCAGUGCAAACCAAGAACUCUUAACUGGAAGACAUUGUAUUGCUGUGUAGACUCUGAACCCAAACUCGCUGAGGCCGCCCACCAAGGUAGUGACUAGUCUAACCUGCGCUAACAUGAGGGCACAAUCUGUUGGAUAGUUUUAGCUUCCUGUGAACAUUUGUAACCACUGCUGCAAUCACCUUCCACCUCUUCCCACCUGCUGCUGCCGUCUGUCCUUACUUGUGGGUUUCUCCAUGCUGUGCCAAUGGCCGGUUUUUUCUACACCCUCUUUUAAGUGUAGUUGGAUGUUUUGUAAUCGAGAGCUCAUUUCCAAAGCAGAAAAGGACAACAAAUAUUAAAGCAAGGAAAAGUGUCACU